UACGGAGGGGGCUAGCGUUGUUCGGAAUUACUGGGCGUAAAGCGCACGUAGGCGGACUGUUAAGUCGGGGGUGAAAUCCUGGGGCUCAACCUCAGAAUUGCCUCCGAUACUGGCAGUCUCGAGUGCGGGAGAGGUGAGUGGAAUUCCCAGUGUAGAGGUGAAAUUCGUAGAUAUUGGGAAGAACACCAGUGGGCGAAAGGCGGC
rnacentral:rRNA from 1 species